UACGUAGGGGGCUAGCGUUGUCCGGAAUCAUUGGGCGUAAAGAGCGCGUAGGCGGCCAGAUAAGUCCGGUGUGAAAGUCAAAGGCUCAACCUUUGAAUGCCGCUGGAAACUGUCUGGCUAGAGUCCGGGAGGGGCGAGUGGAAUUCCUGGUGUAGCGGUGAAAUGCGCAGAUAUCAGGAGGAACACCAAUGGCGAAGGCAGCUCGCUGGAACGGUACUGACGCUGAGGCGCGAAAGCGUGGAGAGCGAACAGG
rnacentral:rRNA from 1 species